ACGUAGGUGGCAAGCGUUGUUCGGAAUUACUGGGCGUAAAGGGCGCGUAGGCGGGGAGGUAAGUCGGGUGUGAAAUCCCUCGGCCCAACCGAGGAACUGCGCCCGAGACUGCUUCUCUUGAGUCCCGGAGAGGAAGGUGGAAUUCCCGGUGUAGCGGUGAAAUGUGUAGAGAUCGGGAGGAACACCGGUGGCGAAGGCGGUGCUCUGGGCCUGUACUGACGCUGAGGAGCGAAAGCUAGGGGAGCGAACAGGA
rnacentral:rRNA from 1 species